AGUUUGAUCAUGGCUCAGGAUGAACGCUGACAGAAUGCUUAACACAUGCAAGUCUACUUGAAUUUGGGUUUUUAACUUAGRUUUGGGUGGCGGACGGGUGAGUAACGCGUAAAGAACUUGCCUCACAGCUAGGGACAACAUUUAGAAAUGAAUGCUAAUACCUAAUAUUAUGAUAAUAGGGCAUCCUAUAAUUAUGAAAGCUAUAUGCGCUGUGAGAGAGCUUUGCGUCCCAUUAGCUAGUUGGAGAGGUAACGGCUCACCAAGGCGAUGAUGGGUAGCCGGCCUGAGAGGGUGAUCGGCCACAAGGGGACUGAGACACGGCCCUUACUCCUACGGGAGGCAGCAGUGGGGAAUAUUGGACAAUGGACCGAGAGUCUGAUCCAGCAAUUCUGUGUGCACGAUGAAGUUUUUCGGAAUGUAAAGUGCUUUCAGUUGGGAAGAAAGAAAUGACGGUACCAACAGAAGAAGUGACGGCUAAAUACGUGCCAGCAGCCGCGGUAA
rnacentral:rRNA from 1 species